rnacentral:rRNA from 1 species
UACGUAGGGGGCGAGCGUUGUUCGGAAUUAUUGGGCGUAAAGGGCGCGUAGGCGGUGCUGUAAGUCUGUAGUGAAAUCUCUGGGCUCAACUCAGAGUCUGCUAUAGAAACUGCAGUGCUGGAGUGUGGGAGAGGUGAGUGGAAUUCCCGGUGUAGCGGUGGAAUGCGUAGAUAUCGGAAGGAACGCCCGUGGCGAAAGCGAGGUCCUGGACGCCUACUGACGCUGAGACGCGAAAGCCAGGGGAGCGAACGGG